rfam:Sus scrofa chromosome 6.
CUCUAGCUGGUCAAGUGGCUAGGAUGCCUGGUUUUCAUCCAGGCUGCCCAGGUUCUAUUCCUGAGCAGAGA